UACGGAGGGUGCAAGCGUUAUCCGGAUUUACUGGGCUUAAAGGGUGCGUAGGCGGUUACUUAAGUCCGUGGUGAAAUCUCUGGGCUUAACCCAGAAACUGCCAUGGAUACUAUUUGUCUUGAAUGUUGUGGAGGUUAGCGGAAUAUGUCAUGUAGCGGUGAAAUGCAUAGAUAUGACAUAGAACACCAAUUGCGAAGGCAGCUGGCUACACAAAUAUUGACGCUGAGGCACGAAAGCGUGGGGAUCAAACAGG
rnacentral:rRNA from 1 species